AAAAUAAAUUGCAGUUUCUGGAACCUGAAUAAAAGGGAAGAAAAAAAGACAGGAAAAUAACUAAUUAGCCAAUUUAACACAGUUCCUUGCUCAAUAAUUCCAAUAUAUGACAUCUAUUUUUAACUUAUUGAGUGUGUCUCAUAAAUUGUACAAGUUAUAAUGACUAAUGAGGGCAAAACUAUAUAUCAAAAUGUGUUUAUAGGACUGAAACUUUAUGACUCCAUGUAGGCAGGUUUUGACAUGGGAAAUCAGAAAAUUGUAUUCAAUCCUUCUCAGUUUCCCUACAACUGGUCCACAGGGGUAUAACUGCAGGAAGGUUAUACCCUCAAGUCAAGAUCUUACCAAUAAUCAAGCCUCGUAUAUGUCAUCACACUCAAGCACCAGAGAACAUGCAGACUAGCAAUACUGUUUUGACACCCAUUUCAAUUCUCUUAUCAGAGAGGUAGAAAACGGUUCUGGCAUGGUUCGGUGUUCCAUUAGGAUAUAUAUCAUUGCAUACACAAAUAAUCAUAACAUAUUGACCAUAAAUUAAGGACACAAAUUGGAAUGUCGUAAGGGCAAAUUUGAUAAUGUUUCAGUUUUUGCUUUUCGUUUACUUUUGUGGAAAAGAAAGUUAAAAAAUAAAUAAAUAAAU
rnacentral:misc_RNA from 1 species